UACCCGCUGAACUUAAGCAUAUCAAUAAGCGGGGCGGAAGAAACUAACAGGAAUUUCCCUAGUAACUGCGAGUGAAGCGGGAAAAGCUCAAAUUUAAAAUCUGGCGGUCUUUGGCCGUCCGAGUUGUAAUCUAGAGAAGUAAUGCCCGUGCUGGACCGUGUACAAGUCUCCUGGGAUGGAGCGUCAUAGAGGGUGAGAAUCCCGUCUCUGACACGGACUACCAGUGCAUUGUGGUAUGCUCUCAACGAGUCGAGUUGUUUGGGAAUGCAGCUCAAAAUGGGUGGUAAAUUCCAUCUAAAGCUAAAUAUUGGCGAGAGACCGAUAGCGAACAAGUACCGUGAGGGAAAGAUGAAAAGAACUUUGGAAAGAGAGUUAAACAGUACGUGAAAUUGCUGAAAGGGAAACGCUUGAAGUCAGUCGCGUUGGCCAGGGAUCAGCCUUGCUCUUGCAUGGUGUACUUUCUGGUUGACGGGUCAGCAUCAAUUUUGACCGCUGGAAAAGUUCCUGGGGAAUGUGGCAGCUCCGGCUGUGUUAUAGCCCCUGGUUGCAUACAGCGGUUGGGAUUGAGGAACUCAGCACGGCCCAAGACCAGGCUUCGACCACGUUCGUGUAAAGGAUGAUGGCAUAAUGGCCUUAAGGGAUCCCUCUUGAAACACGGACCAAGGAGAUUAACAUGCCUGCGAGUGUUGGGAUGGAAAACCUGAGCGCGUAAAGUAAGUGAAAGUUGAGAUCCAUGUCGUGGUGAGCAUCGACGCCGGGACCAGAACUUAUGGAACGGAUCCGCGGUGGAGCAUGUAUGUUGGAACCCGAUAGAUGGU
rnacentral:rRNA from 1 species